rnacentral:rRNA from 1 species
GACGAACGCUGGCGGCGUGCUUAACACAUGCAAGUCGAACGGAAAGGCCCUGCUUUUGUGGGGUGCUCGAGUGGCGAACGGGUGAGUAACACGUGAGUAAACUGCCCUUAACUGUGGGAUAACUUCAGGAGAAUGGGGCUAAUACCGGAUAGGAGCUCCUGCUGCAUGGUGGGGGUUGGAAAGUGUCGGCGGUUGGGGAUGUACUCGCGGGUUAUCAGCUUGUUGGUGGGGUAGUGGCUUACCAAGGCUAUGACGGGUAGCCGGCCUGAGAGGGUGACAGGCCACACUGGGACUGAGAGAAGGCACAGACUCCUACGGGAGGGAGCAGUGGGGAAUCUUGCACGAUGGGCGGAAGCCGGAUGCAGCAACUCCGCGUGCGGGAUGACGGUCUUCGGGUUGUAAACCGAUUUCGCCUGUGACGAAGCGUGAGUGACGGUAAUGGGUACAGAAGCACCGGCUAACUACGUG